rnacentral:rRNA from 1 species
AUUGAACGCUGGCGGCAGGCCUAACACAUGCAAGUCGAGCGGCAGCGGGAAAGUAGCUUGCUACUUUUGCCGGCGAGCGGCGGACGGGUGAGUAAUGCCUGGGAAAUUGCCCAGUCGAGGGGGAUAACAGUUGGAAACGACUGCUAAUACCGCAUACGCCCUACGGGGGAAAGCAGGGGACCUUUGGGCCUUGCGCGAUUGGAUAUGCCCAGGUGGGAUUAGCUAGUUGGUGAGGUAAUGGCUCACCAAGGCGACGAUCCCUAGCUGGUCUGGGAGGAUGAUCAGCCACACUGGAACUGAGACACGGUCCAGACUCCUACGGGAGGCAGCAGUGGGGAAUAUUGCACAAUGGGGGAAACCCUGAUGCAGCCAUGCCGCGUGUGUGAAGAAGGCCUUCGGGUUGUAAAGCACUUUCAGCGAGGAGGAAAGGUCAGUAGCUAAUAUCUGCUGGCUGUGACGUUACUCGCAGAAGAAGCACCGGCUAACUCCGUGCCAGCAGCCGCCGCCGUAA